AGAGUUUGAUCCUGGCUCAGGAUGAACGCUAGCGACAGGCUUAACACAUGCAAGUCGAGGGGCAUCAUGAGGUAGCAAUACCUUGAUGGCGACCGGCGCACGGGUGAGUAACGCGUAUGCAACCUGCCCGAUACCGGGGUAUAGCCCAUGGAAACGUGGAUUAACACCCCAUAGUACUUUUAUCCUGCAUGGGAUGUGAGUUAAAUGUUCAAGGUAUCGGAUGGGCAUGCGUCCUAUUAGUUAGUUGGCGGGGUAACAGCCCACCAAGACGAUGAUAGGUAGGGGUUCUGAGAGGAAGGUCCCCCACAUUGGAACUGAGACACGGUCCAAACUCCUACGGGAGGCAGCAGUGAGGAAUAUUGGUCAAUGGACGUAAGUCUGAACCAGCCAAGUCGCGUGAGGGAAGACUGCCCUAUGGGUUGUAAACCUCUUUUAUAAGGGAAGAAUAAGUUCUACGUGUAGAAUGAUGCCUGUACCUUAUGAAUAAGCAUCGGCUAACUCCGUGCCAGCAGCCGCGGUAAUACGGAGGAUGCGAGCGUUAUCCGGAUUUAUUGGGUUUAAAGGGUGCGUAGGUGGUGAUUUAAGUCAGCGGUGAAAGUUUGUGGCUCAACCAUAAAAUUGCCGUUGAAACUGGGUUACUUGAGUGUGUUUGAGGUAGGCGGAAUGCGUGGUGUAGCGGUGAAAUGCAUAGAUAUCACGCAGAACUCCGAUUGCGAAGGCAGCUUACUAAACCAUAACUGACACUGAAGCACGAAAGCGUGGGGAUCAAACAGGAUUAGAUACCCUGGUAGUCCACGCAGUAAACGAUGAUUACUAGGAGUUUGCGAUACAAUGUAAGCUCUACAGCGAAAGCGUUAAGUAAUCCACCUGGGGAGUACGCCGGCAACGGUGAAACUCAAAGGAAUUGACGGGGGCCCGCACAAGCGGAGGAACAUGUGGUUUAA
rnacentral:rRNA from 1 species